AGUGAACGCUGGCGGCAGGCCUAAUACAUGCAAGUCGAACGGCAGCACAGUGGAGCUUGCUCCAUGGGUGGCGAGUGGCGGACGGGUGAGGAAUACAUGGGAAUCUGCCCAGUCGUGGGGGAUAACGUAUGGAAACGUACGCUAAUACCGCAUGCGCCCUUCGGGGGAAAAGUCGGGGACCGCAAGGCCUGACGCGAUUGGAUGAGCCCAUGUUCGAUUAGCUAGUUGGCGGGGUAACGGCCCACCGAGGCGACGAUCGAUAGCUGGUCUGAGAGGAUGAUCAGCCACACUGGAACUGAGACACGGUCCAGACUCCUACGGGAGGCAGCAGUAGGGAAUAUUGGACAAUGGGCGCAAGCCUGAUCCAGCCAUGCCGCGUGAGUGAAGAAGGCCCUCGGGUUGU
rnacentral:rRNA from 1 species